UACGUAGGGUGCAAGCGUUGUCCGGAAUUACUGGGCGUAAAGAGCUCGUAGGCGGUCUGUCGCGUCGAAUGUGAAAGCCCAGGGCCUCGAACCCUGGGUCUGCAUUCGAUACGGGCAGACUAGAGUAUGGCAGGGGAGACUGGAAUUCCUGGUGUAGCGGUGAAAUGCGCAGAUAUCAGGAGGAACACCGGUGGCGAAGGCGGGUCUCUGGGCCAAAACUGACGCUGAGGAGCGAAAGCGUGGGGAGCGAACAGG
rnacentral:rRNA from 1 species